rnacentral:rRNA from 1 species
UCAUAGUGCCUGGAAUGGCUUAUGGUCCAAACAGUUUACUGCCAUGGGAUGGGACUGCGGCCUAUCAGCUUGUUGGUGAGGUAAUGGCCCACCAAGGCGAUUACAGGUACGGGCUCUGAGAGGAGAAGCCCGGAGAUGGGUACUGAGACACGGACCCAGGCCCUAUGGGGCGCAGCAGGCGAGAAACCUUAGCAAUGUGCGAAAGCACGACUGGGUCAGUCCGAGUGAUUCCUGAUAAAGGAGUCUUUUGCCUGUCCUAAAAGCACAGGUGAAUAAGGGGUGGGCAAGUCUGGUGUCAGCCGCCGCGGUAAUACCAGCACCUCGAGUGGUCAGGACGUUUAUUGGGCCUAAAGCAUCCGUAGCCGGCUCUGCAAGUCUUCGGUUAAAUCCACCUGCUCAACAGAUGGGCCGCUGGAGAUACUACAGAGCUAGGGAGUGGGAGAGGCAGACGGUAUUCAGUGGGUAGGGGUAAAAUCCUCUGAUCCAUUGAGGACCACCAGUGGCGAAGGCGGUCUGCCAGAACACGUUCGACGGUGAGGGAUGAAAGCUGGGGAGCAAACCGAUAGAUACCCGGGUAGUCCAGCUGUAAACGAUGCAAAC